AGAUUUUCCCCAGGAAGAGGAGCUCCCAGAACAAACUCAACAAGCUCAAGCAACGACAGCAGGUCCCUAUUAUAGCAAGAGGAAAAAAAGAGGAAUUGGACAAUGAGAAGCAGCAAACAAUGUUGUGACACAGUAAGCUUGCAAAUAACAUACCACAAAGAAUGAGAAAAUGUGCAUGUAGAUUCGCUAAAGAAAGACUUUUCAAAAGCACAUUUACUCGUGGAGCUAUGCAAAAAAGAAAUUACCUUCCGAAAUGCCACUUAUGUUGCCAAAAGCUAAAAAAAGCAGCAAGCAACAGCACUAUUGUUAUCACAGCAUCAUAUAUUCUGCAAAUAUCUCCAAACAUAUACAUCCUAGAGUGAAUAGAAAAAAAACUAUGACCGAAUGGACCAAUUGUUCCAGCACUCGACUCUAUAUCCCUUGCUGGGUGUUUGUCUCUUAAUUGGAAGUUUAUCUAAAUAAUUGAAUUCUAAUCAGGGAUCAGGACUGGCUCUACUAUCUCCAGGCAAGAAUAUGAUGUUGGCUUGCUAAUGUUCAGGGGAAGAGAGUAGCACCUAACGCUAGAACUAUGAUUGGUUAGCUCCCAAACUUGAGAAUCAUGUGUGCACUGGCAACAGCAAGAGGAUGUUUCAAAGGUAUGUUUACUGGGCAUGCCUAUUGACCAUAAUGCAAAUAAAGUUCUGCUUCAUCCCAGUUUGGACUACACAAUAAGUGCAGAAUGCAGCUCUUUAAUGUUUCUACAUGUCUUUAAUGGCACUGAUUAUCUUUCUGGUCAUUAGUUUGCCAAGUAAAAUUUAUUAUUGACUUACUUUGGCUGAUAUAUUUGACACAACUAUCUGGAACUUUUCUGUUGUUCUUGAGCCGACAACAUGACCAGCCUCGGUGACUUUGCUGAAGGCACCAUUGAACCAGCUUGUUCCAUCAGACACAUAUCAACAAGUAGAGGAAAUAAGGGCGAAGGAUCAGCCAUACUGAUAAAGGACAUCAUAUGUUACUCCAAAGGUGCAAAUAUGUUACAAAGGUCUACAUUUCAUCAAGAUACAUUAAAACUUGAUCACCAGAUGAUAUAAAACACACACACAUAUUGAGUAAUUCAACUAUAGCAAAAGCUUGCAAAAGAAAAGACCCGUUGGUUUUCAAAGCAGAGCCUGUAUCACUUAGCUUGCGCUCUACAGCUAGCAAAUCAGCCAUUGUUUUGUCAGAAACAUGGAACCUUUAGAUUCAGAUCGGAUUAGUAACAACGACAGUCAACCAAAUAACACUUGUAACUAAAUUAUGCGGACUAACCUGAAACUGCUUUUUAGAUGAGCUAACCUGAAACUUUUAAGCGGACCUGAAACUAACCGGAAAGGCAAGAGAUAUGGGGUGGAGCUGGUGGCGUGGAGGUUGGGCCUGAUCCUGCCUUGGAGGGACAAGACGACCGGACGAGCUCUCCUCACUCCACCGCAGUCAGCGUCGUGCUUCUGUGACUCCGCUCCAUGAGCGCGGCGUGGUGUGGCCGAUGUAGGAGAGGAGACGGGAUGGAGGUGGGGGGAGCAGAUGCUUCUUCGAUCCAGCGCUCGAUGGGAGAGGACAAAGGAGGACAGAGCUCCGCCUGCCGCGCCCAUCCUCGAAUCCGCCGCCCUGUCCCUCCGCAGGAACACCGUGAUCCAGGGCUUCGCUCGACAAAGGCCUCCCGUGCGGCGCUCUGGCCGCCUUCAACCAGGAAAACGGUAGGGACGCCCAAUCCUAUUUCGCGAGAGAGAGACGUUGGUCGGGAGAGGGCACAAAUCCUCGCUGGCGUUGACCGGCGGCCAGUGUAGCACCGGAUCGAGCGUCGCUGGGGUCGGUCGCCUCAUGGCGGCUGAGAUCGGGAGGAGAGGGAGAGCUAGCUCGGGUGGUUGCGCCAUUAUUUUUUGGGCUGCAAACGGGCAUGUGGGCCUGAUUUACUGGGCCGAAGCGCACGGGCGGGUAUUGUUUGGAUUGUUUGAUGCACACGACAUGGUUCCCCAAAUUAGUACCACCUUGUUUAUAUAUUUUAUAAAUUGAUGAAAGCAUAAAUUUACAGGAAGAAAAUGUAUUGUCACAGUGAACCCACGGAGUCAAUUCGUGCUUUAUUAUUAGGGAUAAAUGUGUGUCGUUCAGUUCAAGAAAAUACCAAUUUCAUUGGGUCAACUCUUAGAUUUUGUUCCAUGUAACCAAAUUCACUCACAGAUGUUCACGACUGUGAGAAGGUAGCCACCAUGAGAAUCCAAAUCACUUGGGUUUGAUUUAUCAUCCAUGCCAUGUAUGCUAACUCAAUGCAGUAACAUGGAAUGACUCCAUCUGCAGUUGCUUGAUUUGCCACCAUACCAAACUCUCCACCGCUUAGAUCGACAUAAAUGUGGUUACUGGAGUUUAGAGAUUUUUCUUCAUGGGAGUUAUGCAGAUGGAUAGAGGAGAGUCUUGUUAUUAAUUAUGGGACCAUACUCGGCGCUCCUACAGAUCGGGGUCUCCUUCCACGGCGAGAAGGGAUGCCUCGAGGGCCUAGACUUGUUAGAAUAGGCCAGCGACUUGGUGCUCCGGUGGCCUAGAUCGGACAUGAUGAGGAUGAUGGACGCAACCCUUCUUGGUGCUACUGUAAAUUCUGUUGGGAAAAUGCAAUGCAUCCCACUUCAGAUGGUUCGUUUAGCUCUAUAACAGAUAGCCCAAUAUGAUUGAAUUAAUUUAUUAGCACUUAGCAGUCACUAAAUCAUGAAAAAUAACAUUGUUCUUAAUAGAGAAGAAUAAAAUAGAAUUACUAACCUUCAGAUUCUCGGUGCCAUUUCAUCACUAUAUGACCUCGGAAGAAGCAGUAAAUUGGCUUGCAGGAAGCAUGGCACGGCCAUGAGGUGCAGCACGUACAUACACCACCUCAUAGCAAACAUCCGCCACCCUAUGGAUUCCUCAUGAAAUCAAACUAUGAACUAACUGUGAGC
rnacentral:lncRNA from 1 species